AGGGGAAUAUUGGACAAUGGGCGCAAGCCUGAUCCAGCCAUGCCGCGUGAGUGAUGAAGGCCCUAGGGUUGUAAAGCUCUUUCACCGGUGAAGAUAAUGACGGUAACCGGAGAAGAAGCCCCGGCUAACUUCGUGCCAGCAGCCGCGGUAAUACGAAGGGGGCUAGCGUUGUUCGGAUUUACUGGGCGUAAAGCGCACGUAGGCGGACUUUUAAGUCAGGGGUGAAAUCCCGGGGCUCAACCCCGGAACUGCCUUUGAUACUGGAAGGCUUGAGUAUGGUAGAGGUGAGUGGAAUUCCGGGUGUAGAGGUGAAAUGCGUAGAUAUUCGAAGGAACACCAGUGGCGAAGGCGGCUCACAGGAACAUUACUGGCGCUGAGGUGCGAAAGCGUGGUGAGCGAUCAGG
rnacentral:rRNA from 1 species